rnacentral:lncRNA from 1 species
UUUAGGGAAAAAUUAGAUCUGAGUUCUUUUGCUAUUAAAAAUGGUUCUCUCCUUCUAGAUUCGUCUUCUCUAGCGUUGAUACUCUAAACCCUAACGAAAUUUCUCCAUUUUUCUACUUGUGAUUUCUUUUUUCUCGCGAUUACAGGUAUGAUUCUCGAUUUCUAGCUUCUGUAACUUUGAGUUUAAGCUUCGAUCUUAUUUGAUGUUCAAAAAAGAAGCUUCGAUCUUAUUCUCGACACAGUGAGUUUAACUCGUCAUCCAUCUCGUUCUCUGUUGUGGGUUUUGUGUGUUCAUGUUUCUGGGUUUCAUUUUUUCGUAAUAAGAGGAUUAACCGAUGAGUGUGAUCGGUUUGAUCUAGCUUUGAAUUUGUCGUGAACGUUUAGUUAUUCUCGUGAUUUGCUUAGUUAAAAUCGUGAUGAACCGGUUGGUUAAAAUCACAGCAAAGGACUCCUUUUAUUUGUUUAGUUGUUUUCUCUUCUCUGCUCAAUCCAUAUAAACUGUUAUUCUCGUGAACGUUUAGUUGUUUUCUCUUCUCUGCUCAAUUACGGCUGCUGUUCUAGUCUUCACAAUGUUUUGCUUCCUUUUGGUUGUCAUGUUUUGUUGCAUAUAGUUAAGUCAUUGUGUUAUCUUCUAGGCUUCUAAAGAACCUGAGAGGUACAUUGAUUUGUUUGCUGUAUAGUUAAUCAAGUUUGGUGCUAUUUAAAGAUUGCUAUCAGUUCUUUUGCUUCAUUACAUCUUAGAGGUAUGAUCACUACUUAGCGUCUUAGAGUUUUUAUACUGUGUGAACAUGUGAUUGCCAUUGUAUACUUAGCGUGAGUCUAGCAUCUGAUCUUCUUGCAUGGUAUAAGAACACGAGGUUGAAUCUUUUUUUUUUUUUCUUGCAGGCUGAAGACAAGCUGGAAACAGAAACAAAGAGUUAUAUCAGCAGUGUAAACAGAAACAAAGAGUUAUCAAAGUGUUUCAUAACCUUGCAAAACAAGUCUUUUGAGACUAUUUCAAUUCAGUCAUAUUUGAAUUAUUUUUUUUUGAAAAAACAUAUUUGAAUUUUUAUUGUUGGAUUUAAAGAUUUUCUGUAAUUUUUAUUUGCUAUAAGUAUAUAAGUUUGAAAAUUGAGUUUACAAAAAUUGAUUAUGAAC